UGAGUGCGAGCUGCUACGGCAGCGAAGUUGGUGAUGUCAUGCUUCCAAGAAAAGCCCUAUACCCGUUAAGGCAUCAUGGCCUGUACCCGAAACCGACACAGGUGGGGUGGUAGAGAAUACCGAGGGGCGCGAGGUAACUCUCUCUAAGGAACUCGGCAAAAUGGCCCCGUAACUUCGGGAGAAGGGGUGCCACCGCAAGGUGGUCGCAGUGAAGAGGCCCAGGCGACUGUUUACCAAAAACACAGGUCUCCGCUAAGUCGCAAGACGAUGUAUGGGGGCUGACGCCUGCCCAGUGCCGGAAGGUUAAGGAAGCUGGUCAGCGCAAGCGAAGCUAGCGACUGAAGCCCCCGUGAACGGCGGCCGUAACAAUAACGGUCCUAAGGUAGCGAAAUUCCUUGUCGGGUAAGUUCCGACCCGCACGAAAGGCGUAACGAUCUGGGCGCUGUCUCGGAGAGAGGCUCGGCGAAAUAGAAUUGUCUGUGAAGAUGCGGACUACGUGCACCCGGACAGAAAGACCCUAUGAAGCUUUACUGUAGCUUGGUAUUGUGCCCGGGCUCGCAAUGCGCAGGAUAGGUGGGAGGCUUUGAUCAUCGGCUUGCGGGUUGAUGUGAGCCAACGGUGAGAUACCACUCUUUGCGAGCUAGGGUUCUAACGGCCACCCGUCAUCCGGGGGCCGGACAGUACCUGGUGGGCAGUUUGACUGGGGCGGUCGCCUCCUAAAAGGUAACGGAGGCGCGCAAAGGUUUGCUCAGGCUGGUUGGAAAUCAGCCGACGAGUGUAAAAGCAGAAGCAAGCUUGACUGUGAGACCAACAAGUCGAACAGGGAGGAAACUCGGCUUUAGUGAUCCGACGGUUCUGAGUGGAAGGGCCGUCGCUCAACGGAUAAAAGUUACUCUAGGAUAACAGGCUGAUCUCCCCCAAGAGUUCACAUCGACGGGGAGGUUUGGCACCUCGAUGUCGGCUCAUCGCAACCUGGGGCUGAAGUCGGUCCCAAGGGUUGGGCUGUUCGCCCAUUAAAGCGGUACGCGAGCUGGGUUCAGAACGUCGUGAGACAGUUCGGUCCAUAUCCGGUGCACGCGCAGGAAUAUUGAGAGGAUUUCUCCCUAGUACGAGAGGACCGGGAGGAACGCACCUCUGGUGUACCAGUUAUCGUGCCAACGGUAAACGCUGGGUAGCCAUGUGCGGAGUGGAUAACCGCUGAAAGCAUCUAAGUGGGAAGCCCACCUCAAGAUGAGUAUUCCCAUGGCGUAAGCCAGUAAGGUCACGGGAAGAACACCCGUUGAUAGGCUCUAUGUGGAAGCGCAGUAAUGCGUGAAGCAGAGGAGUACUAAUAGACCGAGGGCUUGACC
rnacentral:rRNA from 1 species